GGGCCGAUAGAUCAAUGGUAGAUCGCCGCCAUGGCAAUUACCAUAAAGGCGGAGGCUCGGGGUUCGAGUCCCCGUCGGUCCA
rnacentral:tRNA from 1 species